rnacentral:rRNA from 1 species
UAACGCGAAGAACCUUACCUGGGUUUGACAUGCACAGGACGUGCCUAGAGAUAGGUAUUCCCUUGUGGCCUGUGUGCAGGUGGUGCAUGGCUGUCGUCAGCUCGUGUCGUGAGAUGUUGGGUUAAGUCCCGCAACGAGCGCAACCCUUGUCUCAUGUUGCCAGCACGUUAUGGUGGGGACUCGUGAGAGACUGCCGGGGUCAACUCGGAGGAAGGUGGGGAUGACGUCAAGUCAUCAUGCCCCUUAUGUCCAGGGCUUCACGCAUGCUACAAUGGCCGGUACAAAGGGCUGCGAUCCCGUGAGGGGGAGCGAAUCCCAAAAAGCCGGUCUCAGUUCGGAUUGGGGUCUGCAACUCGACCCCAUGAAGUCGGAGUCGCUAGUAAUCGCAGAUCAGCAACGCUGCGGUGAAUACGUUCCCGGGUCUUGUACACACCGA